UCCAGCAAGCAAGAUGAAGAGCGAAGAUUUGAAUUGGAAAUCGAACUAUUUCACGGAGAAAAAAAACAUUGACGUCCAUAAAGAUUCAGAAAUUGGAGACAGUGGAGGAACUACUCGACCUUGACGAGUUGAUAAAAACUCAACCAAGCAAGAAAGAUUUGCUGCCAGGCUCUCAAAGAUUGGUGGAUAUGACUUAAAGAGCUGUUUAAGCAUCAUAAUGGACAGGCUCAUGACAAAUGAAUUAAUGUCCAAUCUGAACAUGAAGGGGAGAGGGGGAAAACUGCCUUUGCCGAGACGAAGCUGCUCGAUGUAGUCACAACUAGUGUCUUGGAUACCCAGAAGGGGACCGAAACGAUGGUCCAUGAUGCCAUAAAAAAUAAACUGAAAUAUGCCCCUGGACAGAAGGGAGGAAUAGGAUGGGCAUCACAGGCUGAAUAAAUAAUUAUAUUGAUUGACAUUCUCCAUUUUCCAUCCAUCCAUCCAUUUUCUACCGCUUAUUCCCUUUUGGGGUCGCGGGGGGCGCUGGCGCCUAUCUCAGCUACAAUCGGGCGGAAGACGGGGUACACCCUGGACAAGUCGCCACCUCAUCACAGGGCCAACACAGAUAGACAGACAACAUUCACACUCACAUUCACACACUAGGGCCAAUUUAGUGUUGCCAAUCAACCUAUCCCCAGGUGCAUGUUUUUGGAAGUGGGAGGAAGCCGGAGUACCCGGAGGGAACCCACGCAUUCACGGGGAGAACAUACAAACUCCACACAGAAAGAUCCCGAGCCUGGAUUUGAACCCAGGACUGCAGGAACUUCGUAUUGUGAGGCAGACGCA